UAACUUUAGCUUACAUGUACGAGUGUGAUAAAUCGUUAUCAUGUUUGAUUUUCUUAGGGUUUCUAGCGGAAGAUGACUCUAGAUGCAGUUGUCCUAAGUACAAUAAAGAGUUGAUUGAGUUGCCGGAUUCCUGUACUUGUAUUCAGCGUCCUUCAGAUGAAUCUAAUGUAGGGAGUAUCACUUCUAACUCAAGUAAUCACUCUGCAAAGAGCAAAACUUGCGUAUGCACACAAAAUCUCUGUGCGAGCCAAGGAACUUCUUCGGAAUUGGAAAAUAAAUCAAAUGAAGGGAGUGGAAUCCAAAGUUUUGAGCAACAAUCACAGGACUCCGAGCUCUUAAAAACUGUACCUGAUGAGUUGAAUCCUGACUUUGCAUCAAACUUGUCGGGGUGUUCGUGUCAAUCAUCGGCCUCCAGUGAAGUUUCUAUUCACUCAAAAUCUCCUAGCACAAUAUCCCCUUCUAAAUCAACUACCAUUUGUAGCUGCUCUACAACUUCGCCAUUUACAAUAUCAUCUCAUAAGUCUAUCUACAGCUCGAAAAGCCAAAAACCAGGAUCAAAAAACCAGUCGGAAAAUGAAAGUAGACGAGAAUAUGAAAGCGUUAGAGGAACUGGAAGUGAAAAGUUGGAAAAGGAGGAAAAAACAAGUGAAAAGAGAGGCGAAUGGGACGAAGAUCUAGUGAAAGAACCAAUCAACGAAACGAGUGUCAUCAGUCAGGGAGUGGAUGACCAAAUUAAAGACCCGAAAGAAAAAGAUCAUAGAAUCUCUAGGGAUUUUACUGAUAAUAAAUGCCCGAACAAUUGUGGAUGUCCCGACUGCCCUUUUUUAACAACAUAUAGUCGUCCGUUAAAAUUUAAACCUUUGAAAAUGGAUGCACAGGAAUGCGAAAAGCAACGGCAGAACAUUUCGAUUUACGGAAGCGAUGAUCUAACGUAUGAAAGUAACCGUCUGAAAACCAAAAAGGAUUCUCCAGUCAUAAGAAAGGAUCUUCAAACUAGUGAAAAGAACCUUCCGAUCAAUGAUUUUUCAUCAAAUGAAAGAAAUUUCUCUAUGCGCAAUAGAGAUUUCCAAGUCCAAGGAAAUCUUAACAUCCAGGAAAAUAUGACUCCGUCACAUGGCAGUCAUGUCCCGGUACAAGGAAGAGAUGUUUUAGUUCAAGGGGGAGGUUUUCCUGUCCAACGAAAAGAUUUUCCAAUUCAACAAAAAGAUCUUCCGGUUUCGGGAAAUAGCCGUUCGGUUAAUGAGAUUGAACCAAGAAACUUUAGAAACGAGCCAGCGGUUCCAUUACCCAGAAUGAAUUUCUCUGUCUCCGAAAAGGACUUGACGUGUUCUAAGGUCUUGGAGCAAAUUCGGGAUGUACUUUGUGAAAAUAAAAAAGAAACCCAUGAUAUAUCCAACCAUCCAACAUGCCCGUGUCCAAGAGGCGGCUUCUACAAACCAACUCAUACAUGUUUGCCUAGAUGUAAAUGUAGUUGUACUCCUGGAAAAAAUAGUGAGUACUUGGGAUUAACGAACUUCAUUGCUAAUAUUUGUGAAGGCAAAAGGAGCCAAAAUGGUAUGAGAAGCGUCACUCAAAUCGGCGAUGAGUAUUUGAAUAAAGCUAAGGACUACGAAUGCGAUGAUUCUCUAUUUGGUAUCAACAAUAGCAUGAAUUCAUUUUUUGGAUUUUUAUUCACCGAGAUAAAGAAUAUUAAGAACAUGCUGAAUUGUGGCCUUCAAAAGUUUGGAGCGAACGAGCCGGCAGACUUCGAUGCCAAACAAGUUUCCCGGCCAGCAAAAUGUUGCCCCAGCGGUAAAGGUUGCAUAACGAAACCCACUAUGAACAUCUUACCCUCAUGUUACCCGCCCCCUUUAUGCCAUUGCUCUCCACCCAUCAUUACUAUAAUAGGAGUGCAACCUGUCGGAUCAAAGUCUCUUUUGAUUACUUGGAGAAACGAUCAAUAUUACGGCAUUGUGGGCUAUGAAGUUUAUAUCGAUGGUUGUAUGAAGAGCCGAUGUUUUUCACCUAUGCGAACUUCAGCUGUUGCUUUCGGUGUCGACCUUAGUGUUAAACACAUUAUCACGGUCAUUGCUAUUGUCGAUCAAGGGUGUUCGCCAUGUAAUUGUUUGCCCACAAAAGGCUCAGGUUUUUAUCAACCCAAUAUGUUGCGACUAAACGAUUGCUGUAAUAUUUGUGCCUAACAAAAGAAUUUGAAUCGUGAAUUUUGAAGUGGCGUUGCUGUUAGAUUUAUGCGGUACAAAUUGCCAGUGAAGCAGGUGCUGGAGCUCUCUCCGUCAAAAUAAACUAAUAAAGGGAAAAUCCAAUGAAAAGAAAUACAUUUAUUAAAAUCUCCAAGUAACAUAACUAAUGAGAAAGUGUUCUUAAAGGCGGAUCUCUUAAUAAAAUUGAUGCCAAUAAAAUUGUUCAUUACUA